AUCCUUUUGCAGAGGCAAUGUCAUAGUCCAUGAUGUUUUACCAAGACGUGAUUAUUGCUGGUUAAAAACUUAACUCAAUACCCUACCCAGAUGACUUGAAAUAUAGUCAGCUCUGGCAAUUAUUGCUGGUCUCUAAGAAGA